rnacentral:precursor_RNA from 1 species
UUACGAGCCGUCGAAUUUUGACACAUUUUGUAUGGAGCUUAUGUCAAAAUUCUACGGCUCGUAAGCA